UGUGUGCAUGUGCAUGUGUGUAA
rnacentral:piRNA from 1 species